rnacentral:rRNA from 1 species
UACGGGGGGGGCAAGCGUUGUUCGGAAUUACUGGGCGUAAAGCGCGCGUAGGCGGCUUUUCAAGUCAGACGUGAAAGCCCCAGGCUUAACCUGGGAAUUGCGUUUGAUACUGUUAGGCUAGAGUGUGGAAGGGGCUACUGGAAUUCCGUGUGUAGCGGUGAAAUGCGUAGAUAUCUGGAGGAAUACCGGUGGCGAAGGCGGCAUCCUGGACCGGCAUUGACGCUGAGGAGCGAAAGCCAGGGGAGCAAACGGG